rnacentral:rRNA from 1 species
CCUACGGGAGGCAGCAGUGGGGAAUAUUGGGCAAUGGGCGCAAGCCUGACCCAGCCACGCCGCGUGAAGGAAGAAGGCUUUCGGGUUGUAAACUUCUUUUCUCAGGGACGAAGCAAGUGACGGUACCUGAGGAAUAAGCCACGGCUAACUACGUGCCAGCAGCCGCGGUAAUACGUCGGGGGCAAGCGUUAUCCGGAUUUACUGGGUGUAAAGGGCGUGUAGGCGGGAAAGCAAGUCAGAUGUGAAAACCACGGGCUCAACCGGUGGCCUGCAUUUGAAACUGUUUGUCUUGAGUACUGGGGAGGCAGACGGAAUUCCUAGUGUAGCGGUGAAAUGCGUAGAUAUUAGGAGGAACACCAGUGGCGAAGGCGGUCUGCUGGACAGCAACUGACGCUGAGGCGCGAAAGCGUGGGGAGCAAACAGGAUUAGAUACCCGAGUAGUC